rnacentral:rRNA from 1 species
UACGGAGGGGGCUAGCGUUGUUCGGAAUUACUGGGCGUAAAGCGCACGUAGGCGGCUUUGUAAGUUAGAGGUGAAAGCCCGGGGCUCAACCCCGGAAUUGCCUUUAAGACUGCAUCGCUUGAAUCCGGGAGAGGUGAGUGGAAUUCCGAGUGUAGAGGUGAAAUUCGUAGAUAUUCGGAAGAACACCAGUGGCGAAGGCGGCUCACUGGACCGGGUAUUGACGCUGAGGUGCGAAAGCGUGGGGAGCAAACAGG